AGUGAACGCUGGCGGUAGGCCUAACACAUGCAAGUCGAACGGCAGCACAGUAAGAGCUUGCUCUUACGGGUGGCGAGUGGCGGACGGGUGAGGAAUACAUCGGAAUCUACUUUUUCGUGGGGGAGAACGUAGGGAAACUUACGCUAAUACCGCAUACGACCUACGGGUGAAAGAAGGGGAUCUUCGGACCUUGCGCGAUUGAAUGAGCCGAUGUCGGAUUAGCUAGUUGGCGGGGUAAAGGCCCACCAAGGCGACGAUCCGUAGCUGGUCUGAGAGGAUGAUCAGCCACACUGGAACUGAGACACGGUCCAGACUCCUACGGGAGGCAGCAGUGGGGAAUAUUGGACAAUGGGCGCAAGCCUGAUCCAGCCAUACCGCGUGGGUGAAGAAGGCCUUCGGGUUGUAAAGCCCUUUUGUUGGGAAAGAAAAGCAGCAGGUUAAUACCCCGCUGUUCUGACGUUACCCAAAGAAUAAGCACCGGCUAACUUCGUG
rnacentral:rRNA from 1 species